rnacentral:lncRNA from 1 species
GCUUUGGAUCCCUCUCACAGCUGAUGGAAAAUCGAUUGAGCAAAUAAUUCUGUCUGCUAAGUUUUGAAAUUAUGUGAAAGAGAUUGUUGAUAUUGUGGAGAUGCUAUAUGUGGUCCUCCAUUUAGUGGAUCAGGAAAAAAAACCUCAAAUGGGACAUGUCUAUUAUAAACUGAGGAUAGCUAAAGAUAAUAUUAAAAAAUAAUCCGCUGCGGUGUCAAUCUUAUUUAAAAAUUAUUGACAGACAUUGGGACGUGCAGAUGAGCCGGGAUCUACACCUAGCUGGUACGUUAUAAAUUAUAACAAAACUAUUUAUUACUGAUUGUUCAUUGGUAGUCUUGUAUUGUUAAUGGAGUGAUUUCUUUUUUAAUGAUGGGUUAUUAUUUUAAUCCGUCGUACCAUCAUCGUUAUAAUCUUGGAUUUGAUGAUGAAUUGUUGAAGGCAUUAUGAAACGUUAUCAAUAGAUUGGAGAGGGAUCCAACACUUGCUGCUCUUGCCAUAAGUGAGGUAUAAUAUUUUUUCAGUGUAUUAUUAAUUUGCUAGAUGUUAAUAUGCUGAUUGCUGAUUAUUAUACUAUCAUAAUAAAGGAAAAAAU